AACUUUCGACAACGGAUCUCUUCGCUCUCGCAUCGAUGAAGAACGUAGUGAACCGCGAAAUGUAGUGUGAAUCGCAGAACAUUGUGAAUCAUCGAAUCUUUGAACGCACAUUGCGCCUCCCUCAACGGGAGGCAUGCCUGUCUGAGCGUCAUUACAACCGAUAGGCCCGUCAGGGUCUGUGUUGGGCCUCGUGCUUCGGCGCGUCGCCUCAAAGGCAUUGGUCGUACGAGCGGACGUGAUCCAUUAGGACUUGACACCGUUUGGGGACCCUAAAUCUAAGACUUGACCUCAGAUCAGGUAGGGACACCGCCUGAACUUAAGCAUAUCAAUAAGCGGAGGAU
rnacentral:misc_RNA from 1 species